AAAGUAAAGGUAUACACCCUGGUGUAUAAUGUUAAUAUUGCAAUGUUCAUUGUUAGUAACCUACGGAAGCAUAUUAGUGUCAAAGAAAAAAAUAAGAAAUAAAACUAAAUCCUAAUUAGGAGAUGAUGCCAGAUGUUUCUCGCUAAGCACCAUGCAUUAAAAUGUAUAUUACCGUACGAACAGACGACAGCAAUGAAUAACGUUUAACACAAUACCAGGCAACUGAUACAGAUAUGUGAAUAGUAGACAGAUAUAUACAGGACAUGCAACAAAAACAACAAUUAAAUACAAUUGAAUGCGAGGGAAACCGUAAAUAUAUUAAUUCAAUAAACUGAAAAUAAAGAAAGGUAAAAUUUGUCUACGUUAGACUAUAAAACUGGAUAAGCAGGGAGUGGGAUGGGGGCUUGUAUGCCAUUAUUAUUUAUACUAAUAUUUGUGACUGUCGUUUCUCUGUCUGUUCGGGGUUGGCGGCUACACUAGGUCUGCCCCGAGUCUGAAAUUUGGGGUAUAGGGGUAGCUCGGACCGGGGAGUAACAUAGGCCAAGUGGCGUUAGUCUACCACUUCCGAUUUCGGGGUUAUGACCCCCGAG